UACGGAAGGCAGCAGGUGGGGAAUAUUGCACAAUGGGCGAAAGCCUGAUGCAGCUAUGCCGCGUGUAUGAAGAAGGCCUUAGGGUUGUAAAGUACUUUCAUCGGGGAGGAAAAACAAAACUAAUAAUUUUAUUUCUUGACGUUACCCGAAAAAGAAGCACCGGCUAACUCCGUGCCAGCAGCCGCGGUAAUACGGAGGGUGCUAGCGUUAAUCAGAAUUACUGGGCGUAAAGAGCACGUAGGUGGUUUUUUAAGUCAGAUGUGAAAUCCCUGGGCUUAACCUAGGAACUGCAUUUUGAAACUGAAAUACUAGAGUAUCGUAGAGGGAGGUAGAAUUCUAGGUGUAGCGGUGAAAUGCGUAGAUAUCUGGAGGAAUACCUGUGGCGAAAGCGGCCUCCUAAACGAAUACUGACACUGAGGUGCGAAAGCGUGGGGAGCAAACAGGGAUUAGAUACC
rnacentral:rRNA from 1 species